CCCUUAGAUGUCCUGGGCCGCACGCGCGCUACACUGAUGCAUUCAACGAGUAUUUCCUUGGCCGAGAGGCCUGGGCAAUCUUUUAAACCUGCAUCGUGAUAGGGAUAGAUUAUUGCAAUUAUUAAUCUUGAAAGAGGAAUUCCUAGUAAACGCAAAUCAUCAAUUUGCAUUGAUUACGUCCCUGCCCUUUGUACACACCGCCCGUCGCACCUACCGAUUGAAUGGUCCGGUGAAAUCUCGGGAUUGUGGCCAGUUCACUUUAUUGGGAGUUGGCUGCGAGAACUUGCUUAAACCUUAUCAUUUAGAGGAAGGUGAAGUCGUAACA
rnacentral:rRNA from 1 species